UUCUAGCCCCGAUAGCAGUGGAAAUCCUUUUAUUUUUUUUCUUUAAAAAAAUAAAAGAUUGGAACGGAUAGCGGGAAAUAGC
rnacentral:sRNA from 1 species